rnacentral:rRNA from 1 species
ACGGAAGGCAGCAGUGAGGAAUAUUGGUCAAUGGGCGGAAGCCCGAACCAGCCAAGUCGCGUGAAGGAUGAAGGUAUUAUGUAUUGUAAACUUCUUUAGCCAGGGGGCAAUAAGGCGUACGCGUACGCCGAUGAGAGUACCUGGAGAAUAAGGAUCGGCUAACUCCGUGCCAGCAGCCGCGGUAAUACGGAGGAUCCGAGCGUUAUCCGGAUUUAUUGGGUUUAAAGGGUGCGCAGGCGGCUUUUUAAGUCAGUGGUUAAAUCGUGACGCUCAACGUCAUCACGCCAUUGAUACUGGAGAGCUUGAUUGCGGUCGAGGUUUGCGGAAUUCGUCGUGUAGCGGUGAAAUGCAUAGAUAUGACGAAGAACACCGAUUGCGUAGGCAGCAGACCAGGCCGUAAAUGACGCUCAUGCACGAAAGUGCGGGGAUCGAACAGGAUUAGAUACCCUGGUA